CAAUGAAAGGAUUAAAAAAAAAAAUUAAAAAACAUAUAAAAUGUCCCUCAAGACCCAGAAGGUGCAUUUUUUUAUUAUAAAAAACCAACACUCCAAUCCGUGGAAAUGAAGAUAGAAUGUAGACCAUCAGGUUUGAAACCCUUGAAACAACUGUCUUUAUCACUCGACCAACUGUAAAUUCCAACCCUAUGUGUGGUUCUCAAAGUUUACCGAACAAAAAGGAACAAUUUGUUCUUUAAAGCCUCCUCGUUGGAACAGUGGUCAUCAUGCUCCAAUAUUCGUAUGUCUUUUCAUCAACCAAGCAAAGGAUGAACACAACUGAACAAUUAUUUCAAGCAAGACCCUUUUAUUUAACCUUUCUAAAUAUCAUCAGAAUUUCAUCCAAUUGAAUCAAUGAUUAAGCAUAGUGCCUAGCAAAUUAGACCAAUGAUUAUUGUUCAGUUAAAAUAUGUAACUUCAUAAUUUGGAAGCUUGUGAUUCAUAGUUCCAUUAAGAUUGCAGGACGAACAGCUAAACCUAAGGAUGCAUAAAAACAGCUUCCUUUUGAUUAAUUUUGUUUUACUUGUUGAUGAGUGUAAAUGCUAUAUAGAAGUAUAAAAUCUAGCAUUCCAAAUUCCUAGACUAGUUAAGCACAAUUACGCUUCAUUUUAUGUGGUGUAAGUAACACCAAAAGGCAGAUAAUCUAUAAUUACCUGGGC
rnacentral:misc_RNA from 1 species